GUGCUCCUCCAGUAGCAUAUAUGCUGAAACUGGAAUGAUACAGAGAUUAGCACAGCCCCUGUGCAAGGAUGAUACAGAAAUUCAUGAAAUUCUGGUUU
rnacentral:snRNA from 1 species